rnacentral:rRNA from 1 species
CCUACGGGAGGCAGCAGUGGGGAAUAUUGCACAAUGGGCGCAAGCCUGAUGCAGCCAUGCCGCGUGUGUGAAGAAGGCCUUCGGGUUGUAAAGCACUUUCAGCGGGGAGGAAGGCGGUGAGGUUAAUAACCUCAUCGAUUGACGUUACCCGCAGAAGAAGCACCGGCUAUCUCCGUGCCAGCAGCCGCGGUAAUACGGAGGGUGCAAGCGUUAAUCGGAAUUACUGGGCGUAAAGCGCACGCAGGCGGUCUGUCAAGUCGGAUGUGAAAUCCCCGGGCUCAGCCUGGGAACUCCAUUCGAAACUGGCAGGCUAGAGUCUUGUAGAGGGGGGUAGAAUUCCAGGUGUAGCGGUGAAAUGCGUAGAGAUCUGGAGGAAUACCGGUGGCGAAGGCGGCCCCCUGGACAAAGACUGACGCUCAGGUGCGAAAGCGUGGGGAGCAAACAGGAUUAGAUACCCUUGUAGUC